GACGUAGGGGGCCAGCGUUGUUCGGAAUUACUGGGUGUAAAGGGUUCGUAGGCGGUGUGGCAAGUCGGGAGUGAAAUUUCGGAGCUUAACUCCGAAACUGCAUUCGAUACUGCGGUGCUUGAGGACUGGAGAGGAGACUGGAAUUCAUGGUGUAGCAGUGAAAUGCGUAGAGAUCAUGAGGAAGACCAGUGGCGAAGGCGGGUCUCUGGACAGUUCCUGACACUGAGACACGAAGGCCAGGGGAGCAAACGGG
rnacentral:rRNA from 1 species